rnacentral:rRNA from 1 species
UGGGGAAUAUUGGACAAUGGGCGAAAGCCUGAUCCAGCCAUGCCGCGUGUUUGAAGAAGGUCUUCGGAUUGUAAAGCACUUUAAGUUGGGAGGAAGGGCAGUAAGCGAAUACCUUGCUGUUUUGACGUUACCGACAGAAGAAGCACCGGCUAACUCUGUGCCAGCAGCCGCGGUAAUACAGAGGGUGCAAGCGUUAAUCGGAAUUACUGGGCGUAAAGCGCGCGUAGGUGGUUCGUUAAGUUGAAUGUGAAAGCCCCGGGCUCAACCUGGGAACUGCAUCCAAAACUGGCGAGCUAGAGUAGGGCAGAGGGUGGUGGAAUUUCCUGUGUAGCGGUGAAAUGCGUAGAUAUAGGAAGGAACACCAGUGGCGAAGGCGACCACCUGGGCUCAUACUGACACUGAGGUGCGAAAGCGUGGGGAGCAAACAGG